rnacentral:lncRNA from 1 species
GGUGAAUGGGUGGUACCAAGGAAUCUCAAAAGUGAACCACAAGCAAGCAACCGCCUCUUUAAUUUAUAUAGGUAUAACGUUCUGCACAGAUCAAAUUUAUCACCAAGUAUCCAACAUUGCUAAAGGCAUUCAAACAAAUAGGUUGGAGAUCUCUGUGCAUGCAGUUUAGAUCUUUGACCAGGUAUCUCUUCUUUUAGAACCGUGUUGAAAUCUAAAAAUAGUGUUUUUUUUAAUAAUUUUUUUGCUAAUUCGGAUGAAUUAAACCAAAUAACUACAAGUAUAUCCAUGAGAAUUAGCAAAUAAAAUAUUUAAUAAUGUAAUAGCUAGGA